CUGACAUGUGUGCGAGUCAACGGGUGAGUAAACCCGUAAAGCGCGAGGAAGCUGAUUGGCUGGAUCCCUCACGAGUGCACAGCCGACAGACCUUGAUCUUCUGAGAAGGGUUCGAGUGUGAGCAUGCCUGUCGUGACCCGAAAGAUGGUGAACUAUGCCUGAGCGGGGCGAAGCCAGAGGAAACUUAUCAAGCUCCCAAGAAGGUCCAAAAGAAGUUUUAUUAUCCCAUUAAACCGUCCAGAUUCAAG
rnacentral:rRNA from 1 species